rnacentral:rRNA from 1 species
CCCUUAGAUGUUCUGGGCCGCACGCGCGCUACACUGACGGAGGCAGCGAGCAUGUCCUACGCCGACAGGUGCGGGGAAUCUUGUCAAACUUCGUCGUGAUGGGGAUUGAUUAUUGAAAUUCUUGAUCAUCAACGAGGAAUUCCUAGUAAGCGCAAGUCAGCAGCUUGCGUUGAUUACGUCCCUGCCCUUUGUACACACCGCCCGUCGCUACUACCGAUUGAAUGGUUUAGUGAGAUCUUCGGAUUGGCGCCACUGCGGCUCAGCAAUGGGCUCGGUGGAUGCCGAAAAGUUGAUCAAACUUGAUCAUUUAGAGGAAGUAAAAGUCGUAACA